GACGAACGCUGGCGGCGUGCUUAACACAUGCAAGUCGAACGGAAAGGCCCUUCGGGGUACUCGUGUGGCGAACGGGUGAGUAACACGUGGGUGAUCUGCCCUGCACUUUGGGAUAAGCCUGGGAAACUGGGUCUAAUACCGAAUAGGACCACGCGCUUCAUGGUGUGUGGUGGAAAGCUUUGGCGGUGUGGGAUGGGCCCGCGGCCUAUCAGCUUGUUGGUGGGGUAAUGGCCUACCAAGGCGACGACGGGUAGCCGGCCUGAGAGGGUGACCGGCCACACUGGGACUGAGAUACGGCCCAGACUCCUACGGGAGGCAGCAGUGGGGAAUAUUGCACAAUGGGCGCAAGCCUGAUGCAGCGACGCCGCGUGAGGGAUGACGGCCUUCGGGUUGUAAACCGCUUUCAAUAGGGACGAAGCGCAAGUGACGGUACCUAUAGAAGAAGCACCGGCCAACUACGUG
rnacentral:rRNA from 1 species